UACGUAGGUGGCAAGCGUUGUCCGGAAUUAUUGGGCGUAAAGCGCGCGCAGGCGGUCCUUUAAGUCUGAUGUGAAAGCCCCCGGCUCAACCGGGGAGGGUCAUUGGAAACUGGAGGACUUGAGUGCAGAAGAGGAGAGUGGAAUUCCACGUGUAGCGGUGAAAUGCGUAGAGAUGUGGAGGAACACCAGUGGCGAAGGCGACUCUCUGGUCUGUAACUGACGCUGAGGCGCGAAAGCGUGGGGAGCAAACAGG
rnacentral:rRNA from 1 species